rnacentral:pre_miRNA from 1 species
UGAAGCUAAAUUUGUAUGGAGAUGGAACCUUUGCCUACGUAUGCCGCUAGGGGCGCUGUUCCAACUUCAAACAAAUUUGAGCUA